ensembl:lncRNA
CCCAUUUCCCUAGGUAGUAAAUAUGACGUAAGCAAGACGACUAAACAACCGGGAGGGACCUUGGUCUUAUCGUUAUCUCGAUGGGGGGGCAGCCACCCUUAUAACUGGCUUUCUUCAUGGUUCUCUAAAAAUUAAGGCUUUCCUUGCGAGACGAGAAUCUUCACCAUCUGAAUCAUGAAAAUCAACUCUGAUAGUGUUGCCGCUAUGGGGGAAUGCACCAUUAGGAGUGACUGACUUAGAUCAGACUGGUCGCUGAUUCAUCCAUCCUUCUGGCGGGAGUUAGGUUAACGGACCCCUCCCUUAACUCUAGUGGAAUGCACAGCAGGUGGAAGAAGACUUUUCACAUUGUGUCGGUGGUAGAGCGGGCUGUCCACUAAUUGUAGGGUUGGCGGUUCGAUUCCCGGCCCGGGUGACUCCACAUGUCGAAGUGUCCUUGGGCAAGACACUGUACCCCAAGUUGCUCCCGAAGGAAAUGCUGGCAAAAGUGGAGAUAGGAGGAGUGCAGAAAUAUAUUAAAGUUCCACAGACUUAUGAAGUCUUUCAAUUUGAGAACUUCCUUCAAGAAGCCAGACAGUUUCAGUGAGGGCCAGCUCUCAGUCACUGAUGUGUCACGAACAGAGGUGGAUGGAGAUGUCUUUGAUGAACUUGUCAAGUCAGGUGUCUUCACCUUCAAGGUCCCUUUACCAGUAAUGGUUAAGGAUGUGAAGGCAUGGGAAAAGGCAGGGGUUUGAUGAGAUCUGGAUGUUCAGCUGGUCUCAGAUCAAGCAUCCUCCUCUGUACUGACUCCAAUAUCCCCAGCUUCAUCCCAUUCAUCAGAUUCCAUAAUUGUCUUGAGUCCAGAAGAAAGAGGAGGAACCCAACAGGGUUAAUGGACCAGACUGAAGCAGGACAGUUGAUUGUUUUCUGAGGGCCAAUCCAAAGGGUGAGGAAAUCUUCAAGGAGUAUGAAAAGACCAAAACACUAACAGAUGCCACACAUAAACAGAUGGUGACCGUCCUGGUAGCAGACAUGUUAGAGCUACAUGGACAGGAACACUACUAUGAUCCUGAGGGUAAUACUGGCUUCUUUGCAUGGAGGAUCAAGACAGUUCAACGUAACACCUGUGCUGGCUCCCGGUGUCAUUCCAAGACUGUUCUUCAGGAUGGUCCAAAAACCAGACGAGAAUCUCUGUUAACCUGUCAACAGCUAUUUGAUCGACCAGGAUUUCUCCAUGAUGUUUGAUGAUGAAGUGUUUCAGAAGUUCCUGGCAAAGUGGUCAACAUUCUUCAAGCCAAAAUCACUGCAGACUGCAAGACUCGAGAAUGUCGGCGAGCUACUGUCAGGAACUGAACCUGAAUCUGAGUACUACAAUGGAUGGGACAGAGAUAUGUCCUCAAUCCUUUUGCUGCUGCAUCUGCUCCCUCCAACCUCAAGAGGCCAGAAAAAUAACAUCAAAGAUCAGUUCAGCUCAAGCAACCAGCCAUCUUGUGAGAUAUCUAAGGAAGGAGCCAGUGUGACUACCUUCAUUGAAAGUGCUGACACAAGACAACCAUUCCUCCUCUGCAUCAGUGAGCGAAAGAAGGAUAUCCAACAGUUCUACAUUAUUAUCGACCAAAAACCGAUCCCAUGUAAGGCGCACACAUCAGUGGCAGCUUUUGAUGAACUGUCCAAAGCUCACUAUGUCUUCAGUCUCUGAUAUGAUGAAG